rnacentral:rRNA from 1 species
AGAGAGAGACAUGCGCGCAUAUCAAUAAGCGGAGGAAAAGAAACUAACAAGGAUUCCCUUAGUAACGGCGAGUGAAGCGGGAAGAGCUCAAAUUUGAAAUCUUCAAGGUUUUACCUUGACGAAUUGUAGUUUAAAGAAGUGUUUUCUGCUGAAGUUUUGGUAAAAGUUCUUUGGAAUAGGACAUCAUAGAGGGUGAGAAUCCCGUAUUUGACCAUUAUUUUCAGCUUUGUGAUACACUUUCAAAGAGUCGGAUUGUUUGGGAAUGCAGUCCAAAAUGGGUGGUAAAUUUCAUCUAAAGCUAAAUAUUGGCGAGAGACCGAUAGCGAACAAGUACCGUGAGGGAAAGAUGAAAAGAACUUUGAAAAGAGAGUUAAACAGUACGUGAAAUUGUCAAAAGGGAAGCGUUUGACACCAGUGUUGUUUUCUCGAAAAUCAAUUAAAAACGGCUCGAUUUUGUAUUGCUUGAGGCCUUAAAAGCUCACUGUACAUUUUUCGUGUCUUCUUUAAUGCACUUUUCGUUUAACAAGUCAACAUCAGUUUCUUUUGUUGUAAAAGGGUCAUUGGAAGGUGGCUUUCUUUUCGGAGAAAGUGUUUAUAGCCUUUGGCCUCUGCAAUCGGAAGAGACUGAGGUCUGCAGCGUAGACUCUUCGGGGUUAGAUACAUUUGUGCUAAGUUAUAGCUUUUUAUAGACAACUUGUUGACUAUAAUUAGUCUUGUAGCUUACUCGCUUAUGCUAUUUUACCUACGCUUAGGAUGUUGAAGAUGUAGCACAUCAU